rnacentral:rRNA from 1 species
GAUGAACGCUGGCGGCGUGCCUAAUACAUGCAAGUCGAGCGAACAGACGAGGAGCUUGCUCCUCUGACGUUAGCGGCGGACGGGUGAGUAACACGUGGAGAACCUACCUAUAAGACUGGGAUAACUUCGGGAAACCGGAGCUAAUACCGGAUAAUAUAUUGAACCGCAUGGUUCAAUAGUGAAAGACGGGUUUGCUGUCACUUAUAGAUGGAUCCGCGCCGCAUUAGCUAGUUGGUAAGGUAACGGCUUACCAAGGCAACGAUGCGUAGCCGACCUGAGAGGGUGAGCGGCCACACUGGAACUGAGACACGGUCCAGACUCCUACGGGAGGCAGCAGUAGGGAAUCUUCCGCAAUGGGCGAAAGCUUGACGGAGCAACGCCGCGUGAGUGAUGAAGGUCUUCGGAUCUUAAAACUCUGUUAUUAGGGAAGAACAAAUGUGUAAGUAACUAUGCACGUCUUGACGGUACCUAAUCAGAAAGCCCCGGCUAACUACGUG